AGAGGGACAUUUUUGGAGGGACUGGCCAGAGUUUAAGCCACGUCUCUUAAAAAAUGAAAAAAUUAGAGUCCACCUCGUUAGGCAUCAUGUAAGUGGUAACGAGAGAUCUCGACUUUGAAUUCUCGGAAUCGCGUUCGUCAAGAAACAAGAAAGACUUUAUAUUCAUAAUCUGUUAUGUUUAAAAAAAUCUUAGUAGAUAAUUCGAU
rnacentral:misc_RNA from 1 species